rnacentral:rRNA from 1 species
GACGAAGGGGGCUAGCGUUGUUCGGAAUUACUGGGCGUAAAGGGCGCGUAGGCGGCCUUCUAAGUCAGACGUGAAAUCCCCCGGCUUAACCUGGGAACUGCGUCUGAUACUGGAGGGCUUGAGUGCGGGAGAGGGAUGUGGAAUUCCAGGUGUAGCGGUGAAAUGCGUAGAUAUCUGGAGGAACACCGGUGGCGAAGGCGGCAUCCUGGACCAACACUGACGCUGAGGAGCGAAAGCCAGGGGAGCAAACGGG